rnacentral:rRNA from 1 species
GAUGAACGCUGGCGGCGUGCCUAAUACAUGCAAGUCGAGCGAACAGACGAGGAGCUUGCUCCUCUGACGUUAGCGGCGGACGGGUGAGUAACACGUGGAUAACCUACCUAUAAGACUGGGAUAACUUCGGGAAACCGGAGCUAAUACCGGAUAACAUGUUGAACCGCAUGGUUCAACAGUGAAAGACGGUCUUGCUGUCACUUAUAGAUGGAUCCGCGCCGCAUUAGCUAGUUGGUAAGGUAACGGCUUACCAAGGCAACGAUGCGUAGCCGACCUGAGAGGGUGAUCGGCCACACUGGAACUGGGACGCGGUCCAGACUCCUACGGGAGGCAGCAGUAGGGAAUCUUCCGCAAUGGGCGAAAGCCUGACGGAGCAACGCCGCGUGAGUGAAGAAGGUCUUCGGAUCGUAAAACUCUGUUAUUAGGGAAGAACAAAUGUGUAAGUAACUAUGCACGUCUUGACGGUACCUAAUCAGAAAGCCACGGCUAACUACGUG